GCAGGUUGUGUCUCUCAGAACGCCCACUCUGUCCCCAUUUUCCGGCUUUUCCGCCAUUCCAUAUUUUUCAUUCCGUAUGCACACACGCAAGGACCCGACCUGACCUGAGUUGAGAAAUUGUCCAGUUGACCAGCACCUGUUCAAUUGUCCAUUCAGACGUCGAUGAACUUGCCAGGACAUCGGUUCGCUCAGCUCCAGGAUUUUGGAUUUUAUUUCAAACAGAAAGAGGUGCCAAGUUGAAAAAUAAAGAACAACCAAUGAAUCGCGACUGGGGGGAUGUGCAGAGCCGAGGACUCUAAGCUGAGAUUAAGGACAUUGAGAGACAGUCCUGGAAAGGAAAACUAAAAAAAUGCCACCAAAGCGACGGAGAAGAUUCCAAGGACUCUACUACCAUUCAUCGCCGCCCAAGGUCAUGCCGAUGAAUGGACAGACGGGCGGACAAAAUGGACGCAAGCGCCGCGACAAUGACGAUUUCUCGGUGAAGCUAUCCACCAUCAGGAUCUGGAUGCACGAGAAGGACAUCGGCAAGUUGACGCGCAUUUUGUGGGCGGGGCAGGGCAACCGCCUUUGCCAACAGGCCAGUAACAAUGGGCGUGUCAAGCGUUUCCUGGCCGCCGUACCCCACGUCAUGAAUGCCAUCAAGGAUCUGCACCAGGCUGUGAUUGACAACAAUCUGGAGAGCGUUCAAUCACAAUUGGAGCCACCGGUGCCAAGUGCCCUGGUUACCUGCAAGGAUGGCAACGGCCUGAAUAUCAUCCACAAGGCCGCCGGUCUGGGCCACACCAAGAUCCUGGAGUAUCUGGUGGGCAUUUGGCCGGAGGGUGCCCACGAAGUGGACAUCACCGGCAAGACGGCGCUCCACUGGGCGGCCAGUGCCAAGAACAACAUGAGAUGCUACACCCUGCUGACCCAGGCGGGAUGUGACGAGGAGGCUGUGGAUUAUAAAAUGAAGACACCUUCGUACUAUCGCCACAAGCCGCACGAAAUAGAGCGGGCUUUUCUGGUUUAUGUGCCGGAAGCCCCUCGCGUCUCCCCCGAGAGCGUCACCGACUGGGAGGCCUUGGGCGAUGACACCGGCGGCGACAAUGGGGCAGGUGGCGACUCCAUCUCGAAGAAACUGGACAUGAAGGUUCUUCUGCCCACUGUGAAUGGUCGCCAGUCACUGGACGACAGCCUUGAGAACACCUCGGAGCUGGACACCAACGAUGGUACGAGUGCCAACGAAGACGACGAUCUCUCGAAAGCGGAUGCGGAACCGGUUCCGGAAGCGGAAGCGGAAGCGGAUGCGGAAGUGGCCGCAUCGCCAUUGCAGCGCCGACCGGAAACCCCGGCCACCUUUAACACCAUAAAUGGCGAUGAUAGCGAGGCAGAGGCUCGAAGAUGGAUGGAGCGUAGAACUGAGUCACCUGGAAAGCAAUCAGUCGACAAUUGUUUACUUUUACAGAAUAUUGCAAGAGCUGUAAGUCUGGAAGGAGGCGGAGGCGAUGGCGAUGGCGAUGGAGGAGGCGUGGCUGAAGAAAACGGAGUUGAACCGGGCGGAGAAGGACACGGUGGCGGUGGCGACGCAGAAAUCUUGGUGAACGGACACGGUGAUCAACAGGAAGAGGCGGAGGAGGAGGCAGAACAGCAGGAUCAGGAGGAGCAGGAUCAGGAUCAGGAGCAGGAUCAGCCUGCAGAAGAUAUGGCUGGCAAUGAGAGUGAGCUUGAAGUAAACGAAAAGACUGAAGACGAAGACCAGGAACCGGAAGCCGUAGAACCCAAAGCCGAAGAGCAGCCGGAAGAGGCUGUCGAUGAGCAGAGCAAAGAUGACGAAAACGAUAACGAUAACGAUAACGAUAACAAUGACGAUGACGAUGAUGAGGACGUUGUAGCUCCCGAGAGCCGGGGUGGCCGACCAGAAGGAUCCCAGGGCGGAGAACGAGGAGGAGGAGGAGAUGCCCCGCCGGCCGAAGACGAUGGCAACGAAUCGCUUACCUCCGCCAUGGCCAUUGAGGGCUUUGUGCAAGGUGCUCCCGAGGAUUUUACAGUUCAGUCUCAAACUGCAGUUGAUGAAAACACACGCAUCCAAGGCAUCGUGGAGUCUGGCGACCUGGAGCAACUGGCCGAGAUCGUACUGAACAGCGAUGGCGGUCGCCUGAUGGGCCUCACGUCCCCGGAGCCGGAAAUCCAGGCCUUUCUCAACAACGUACCCACUUACAUGGAGAAAAUCCAUCGCGUGCACGACGCGGCACGUGACGGAGGAUUGCUGGAAUUGCAGCAGGCUUUGGAUCGCCGGAAGUUUGCCAUUGCAAAGGACGACAUAUCGCCCAAUGGCUCCACACCGCUGCACGUGGCCGUGCUCUUUGGCCACACGGACAUCGUUCGGUACUUGGCCUCGCGCUUUCCGGAGACCAUGACAAUUACGGAUAAUGACGGACGCACGCCGCUUCAUUACGCAGCCACAAUUAAGGACAACGGUCACUUCUACCACAUGCUCCUGCAAAUGGGGGCAAAUCCGAAAUCCCUGGACAAGCUGGGCCACUCGGCCGAGUUCUACCUGGACAGGGACAAGGCGAAAAACAUACUCAACUACACCGAGUUGCUGAACAUUUUCGGGGCCGAGGAACUGGAGAACCAGUUGCUCACCGACCAGGUUCCUGACGAUCUGCACAGUGCCCGGCGGGAGCUGCAGGAUGGAGAGAUCUCCUGGACCCUGGAGCGUUGCUACAGUGUCAUCUCAGAGUCGGGAAAACUACUAAGUGGCACCACGGCCUCCGCCCUGUCCCACCGGAAGCCGCUCAGCGCUUCGUCCCUGCAGCUGUCGGUGACCAGUUAUCUGAGUCGCUUCAUGAAACGUCCUGUUUACGAGAAAAUCAAGCGACGGCAAACUCGCCUCGAUCACAAUCUCUUUGAUGUCCUGUGGCCGGCCAUGCGGAAGACCUCAAAAGCGCGCCAUUUGGAAGAGGACAUAAAUUGUGGAAUCAUUGCACCGGACUUCGAUGUGUUUGUAGUUUUCCAGGAGUUCCUGGUGCCGCUCUUGAAGGACAUGCACUGUCUGAGCAUCGAUAAUGACUUCAAGCCCCAACCACGUCUGGCCUACUUUCCAAUGGACAACGGCGAGCGGCUAAACACGGCGGCCUUCGUAUUCGACGACGAGUCCAUGCUGGUGACCCGCUGCCUAGUGGAGGCCUCCCGCAACCUGGACCAGCUGGAGCUGCCCCUGAACCUGACCAUCGGCCAGCUGGAGCAGGCCGAGCGCCUCAUGAUGAGCAAGAUAUUCACCACGAGCUUUGCGGACGCCAUUGGCGAGACCGAUUCGGGAAACUACUUUACCAUGACCGAGCUACUGGAGCCGGACUCCGAGGUGGCCAUGAUGCUGAACAGCCUGGGCCUGAUGAUUCCCUUGCUGGACACCCAGGACCUAGUGCAAGCCGCCGAGUCCACGGCCUUCAACGGUGCGCUGUGGCCCUACGGGCGGGGCGUGUUCGUAAACUCGGCGCACAACCUGGCGGUCUGGCUGAACUGCCAAGAGCACCUGCGAGUAAUCUCCGUCACCGGCAGCAAGGACCCCGCUGACAUGGGGGCAGCCUACACGCGGGUUGGCCGGGCCAUAUCCUAUCUGGAAACGCAACUGCACUUCAAGGAGAGCUACCUGCUCGGCUACUUACAGUCCCGGCCUAGUUACCUCGGCACCGGCCUCAAAAUGACCACCAUAGUGAAGCUACCGAACCUUAUGAAGGAGAUGGAUAAUCUGCGCCACUUGUGCUCCGUCCGGGGGCUGAGCAUGGUCACCAAUCGGCUCUCAAAGCUCACAGUGCGCCUGGUCAACAUGCAGAGCAUGGGCGUGGUGGAGUACGUGCUGUUCCAGGACUAUUGCACGGCUGUCACCAACAUCCUGUCGCUGGAGAAGGACAUGUCGCUGACGAACUCAAAGCACAUAGCCACCAUGCUGGUAAAAAUCUUCAGGCGCAAGAAGAACAGCAUCGUGGAUCGCAAUUAGGAGGAGGAGCCCGAUUCCCCAAGACCCCAGCUGUACAUACGAAAGCAAAGAUCUCCGAGCACUGUAACCCGUAACCAUAAAUGCAAAUAUCCGUACCCAACUCGAAACUCGACACCAGACUCGUGUCCUCAACAUCAAAAAACAAGCAAACAAUAACACAACCUCCGCUUAUGCUGCGCUUAGAGUUAAUCCGUAAUCGUCAGGCCCAGCCCGUCAGCUUUCAGGCGAAUCCCAUUUUCAAGACGGAACAAGGAAAAUACCUGGCGGAUU